rnacentral:rRNA from 1 species
UACAGAGGUCUCAAGCGUUGUUCGGAUUCAUUGGGCGUAAAGGGCGCGUAGGCGGCGGGGCAAGUCGGGUGUGAAAUCUUAGGGCUCAACCCUGAAACUGCACUCGAUACUGCUCUGCUUGAGGACUGGAGAGGAGAUUGGAAUUCACGGUGUAGCAGUGAAAUGCGUAGAUAUCGUGAGGAAGAUCAGUGGCGAAGGCGGGUCUCUGGACAGUUCCUGAUGUUGAGGCGCGAAGGUCAGGGGAGCAAACGGG